UCUUGUGACGGAUUCUCACGGAUUCUCACAUCUCCACGGAUGAAAGAGCAGGCAGAGUUCAAACCAGUCAGCGGUAAAUUUCGCUACUAUUUUCGACGGCCGCCGGUGGAAGAAGUGAGGCCAUGAGGUGAAGCCAGACAGACUGCACUAACCAAAGAGUCGCUACAGUCUCCAUCGUCCUCAUGAGAGCACACAGAGCUGGCUCCUCGAACAACCUUGGCUCGUUGCUAGUACCAGAUGUGACAUUGACUAGAAGUCAAGCAAUCUCGCCGAUACUAUAGAUGUACCGAUCAUGAGCGACACAUA